UACGGGGGGGGCAAGCGUUGUUCGGAAUUACUGGGCGUAAAGGGCUCGUAGGCGGCCAACUAAGUCAGACGUGAAAUCCCUCGGCUUAACCGGGGAACUGCGUCUGAUACUGGAUGGCUAGAGGUUGGGAGAGGGAUGCGGAAUUCCAGGUGUAGCGGUGAAAUGCGUAGAUAUCUGGAGGAACACCGGUGGCGAAGGCGGCAUCCUGGACCAAUUCUGACGCUGAGGUGCGAAAGCGUGGGGAGCAAACAGG
rnacentral:rRNA from 1 species